GGGUAAGUGGCAGGGCUAGGAUUCGAAACCGGGUCCUUCUGACUCCCAGGCCUGGGCUCUAGCCACUAGGCCACGCUAUUUCUCAAUGCUGGGGUGGAUUUGUGUUUAAGGAAUCAGGCACCAUCUCUGUCUCGCAUAGGAAUCGGUCCAUUUUAUUCCAGUUUUACUGAUGAGGAAAAUAAGGUCUUCAGAAGUUAAAUGACUUGCCCAAGGUCACCCAGCAGACCAGUAGUGGAGCUGGGGCUAGAAGCCGGGUCUCCUGUCAGCUGAUCCCGGAUUCUUUCCACCAGGCCACACCGCCUCCCAAAGGGCCACUCUACUCACUGCCUUUCGUUGGUGGACCGCAGGCCUGUCCACAACCUUGGCUGCAGCACUCCGGCUUCCUUUGGCAGUUCCAAGCCCCACAGUCCGCUGCCCGGCCUGGCCUGACCUCCCGGACACCACACGGUGCUGAUGGGGGCAGGAGGCAGAGGAGUCCUGACCAUUGCUCUUCCGGCCAGGGCAGCCCCUCGGCCCCACAGCGAGCUGAGGAGAGCCCUUACGACUUCAGUGCCCCAUGUCCUCUGUGUCUCGACCUCUUCUAUUAUCCAGUUAUCUAUUCUAUUAUCCCAACCCCAUCUCUCCAGGGACUCUCUCUCUAACCUACUCCCUCUGUGUGUGUGUGUUUGUCACUCUGUCAUCGUUUCAUGUGCUAUAUAUUAUGUUUGGUCUUUGAAAACAGUGGCAAGAUAAACAAAUUAAGUUGUUUUGACACUAUUUAAUAUUUCAGCCUUUUGAAUUUAGCAUCUAAUUUUAAGCAUCAAAUUCUAUUUCAAGUCCCAAAUCUUUGAACCAGAUCACUACCAGGAAGCUUCUGGGAGGAUUUGUGUGUGUGUGUAUGUGUGUGUGUGUGUGUUUGUUUUUCUGGUUGUAGUUAAUAAAACGAUUAUGGUGGAUUAUGGUGUUUGCUUAGCACUUACUAUGUGUCAAGCACUGAGGUAGAUAUAAUGCCAUUAGCUCAGAUAUAGGCCCUUUCCCUCACGGGGCUCACUGUAGAGGAGGGAGGAAGAGCAGGUAUUUAAUCUCCCUUUUAGAAGUGAAGAAAAGUGAAGUGACUUGCCCAAGGUUAGGCGGCAGGCACUGGUGGAGGUGGGAUUACAACACAGGUCCCCUGCCGCCUAGGCCCGGGAUCUCUCCACCGUGCCAAGAGGGUUCCCUUUACAUCCAUUUGAGGACAGCCCCCUGUCUAUCCUGACUCCAGUCCACAUUCAGACUGUAAUCCUAUCCUCUUUUACAGUCUUAAAGCAGGUUUCCUUGCCCCGACAGAUCUCCAAAGAUAAAAUGUUUGCAUUUGUUUGUCUUGCAGUUUGUAGCAAAACAUGGGUAUGUCAGCCCUACAUGGGAUGCUGUUCACAAGCAUAAUAAAAAUAACAAUAAUAAGAAGAA